UACGUAGGGUGCAGGCGUUAAUCGGAAUUACUGGGCGUAAAGCGUGCGCAGGCGGCUUUGCAAGACAGAUGUGAAAUCCCCGGGCUCAACCUGGGAACUGCAUUUGUGACUGCAUGGCUAGAGUGUGGUAGAGGGAGAUGGAAUUCCGCAUGUAGCAGUGAAAUGCGUAGAUAUGCGGAGGAACACCAAUGGCGAAGGCAAUCUCCUGGACCUGCACUGACGCUCAUGCACGAAAGCGUGGGUAGCAAACAGG
rnacentral:rRNA from 1 species